CUGGGACCUUUCUGCUGUGCAAAUAGGCUGCUGAAGGUGCCGAUACAUUUCAGCCCGCCCCUAGCCUCACUAACCAAUAAAAAAGGAAAGCAGCUACCUGCGAGGGUCUGGAGGCUGACAGCGCAUGUGUUCAUCAUGGAGCAUAGAGCAGGAAGCAGUAGCAGAAGGCUGCCCGCAUUUGGUGGAAGCAGCACUUGUUUCAAGACUGGCAGUGACGCCUGUGUUUUUGUGCAGUGUGGCGGAAUCGUCCGUGGAGUCCUGCCCUUAUUCUUGACAUCAGAAUGAUGUGGCACCCAGAAAGAUUUCCCCAUCUGAAAAAAAAAGAACCUACGUCUCUCAUCCAAACCGGUGCCUGGUUGCUAGGGAAAAUCAGAUCCUAGUAACAGCUGCUGAAAUACCAAACCUGAGAGCUGCUGAACAAAAAACGAAAUAACUGAAAACAAAACUUUUUUACACUAUACAUAUAUCCUUUUACAAUUACACAAAUACAAAUGUAUAUACAUGAUGGAUUUUUAGACCUGCAGACUAAUGUUCGUGGGAUUAUGUUCGUGGGAUUAUGCGCAUGUAUUUAAAUGCUUGUCGGAAUUCUUGUACCCCAACAUCUACAGCAAACAAGCCACAGCAUGGCAUGUUUAUUCUAUACAUUUAGAGAUUUUUCUUAAUACAUUAAACAGCACAUGGACAACAAAAACACACACACCCAUAAUAAGACCACUGUGUGUAUGUCCUGCAAAAGUUAUCCAAUUUCAUAGCACAGAGAAUGGGAAAAGCCUAAUUAUUUUUUUCCAACAGCAAAGAAAGUAUAAGGAGAUAAACAGAGGGUUUUAGAAUAUCCCUUAAAGGGGUGGUUCACAUUUGAAAUAACUUUUAGUAGAGAGCAAUGUUCUGAGACAAUUUGCAAUUGGUUUUCAUUUUUUAUUAUUUGGAGUUUUGCAUUAUUUGGCUUUUUAAUCGACAUCUCUUCAAUUGGCAUUUUAAGCAAUCUGGUUGCUAGGAUGCAAAUUCCCCUAGCAACCAUGCAUUGAUUUGAAUAAGACAUUGAAAUAUGAAUAGGAGAGGGGCUGAGAAAGAAAGACGAGGAAUACCAAGUAGAAACAACAAUACAUUUGUAGCCUUACAGAACAUUUGUUUUUUUUAAAGGGGUGUCAGCGACGCCCAUUUGAAAGCUGCAAAGAGUCAGAAGAAAAAGGCAAAUAACUAUAAAUCUAUAAAAAAAAAAAAAAUAAUUAAAACAAAUUGAAAAGUUGCUUAGCAUUGCCCAUUCUAUAGCAUACUAAAAGUGGCUUAAACAUGACCACCCCUUGGACUUAAUAGGAAGCCAUAGAAAUGCUCUUUUUAAUGCUGAGCAGUCUUCCAUUUUAUUAAUUCCAUUAUUCUGCUGUUAAUAUGAAUAGGCCCAUUAGAAGCAACCAUUUGUCACUCUGCCGAAGCAGAAUCACAGGCCAUUUUGGAUACGAUGGAGGGGUCACUGUAUUAUUUUUAACUGUUUUUUUUCCAGCAUUUUCAUUUCAUGUUUCAAGACCAUGUUUCAGCAAAAAUCUAAUCAGCUGUUUCAUAUAUUAUUUCAGUCUGUGUGUUUGUGUAUGUCAAUAAAAAAGACA